UAGGGAAUCUUCGGCAAUGGGGGCAACCCUGACCGAGCAACGCCGCGUGAGUGAAGAAGGUUUUCGGAUCGUAAAGCUCUGUUGUAAGAGAAGAACGAGUGUGAGAGUGGAAAGUUCACACUGUGACGGUAACUUACCAGAAAGGGACGGCUAACUACGUGCCAGCAGCCGCGGUAAUACGUAGGUCCCGAGCGUUAUCCGGAUUUAUUGGGCGUAAAGCGAGCGCAGGCGGUUAGAUAAGUCUGAAGUUAAAGGCUGUGGCUUAACCAUAGUACGCUUUGGAAACUGUUUAACUUGAGUGCAGAAGGGGAGAGUGGAAUUCCAUGUGUAGCGGUGAAAUGCGUAGAUAUAUGGAGGAACACCGGUGGCGAAAGCGGCUCUCUGGUCUGUAACUGACGCUGAGGCUCGAAAGCGUGGGGAGCAAACAGGAUUAGAUACCCUGGUAGUCCACGCUGUAAACGAUGAGUGCUAGGUGUUAGACCCUUUCCGGGGUUUAGUGCCGUAGCUAACGCAUUAAGCACUCCGCCUGGGGAGUACGACCGCAAGGUUG
rnacentral:rRNA from 1 species